rnacentral:misc_RNA from 1 species
GAUGAAGAACGUAGUGAAAUGCGAUAAGUAAUGUGAAUUGCAGAAUUCAGUGAAUCAUCGAAUCUUUGAACGCACAUUGCGCCCGCCAGCAUUCUGGCGGGCAUGCCUGUUCGAGCGUCAUUUCAACCCUCGAGCCCCCCCGGGGGCCUCGGUGUUGGGGGACGGCACACCAGCCGCCCCCGAAAUGCAGUGGCGACCUCGCCGCAGCCUCCCCUGCGUAGUAGCACACACCUCGCACCGGAGCGCGGAGACGGUCACGCCGUAAAACGCCCAACUUCUUAGAGUUGACCUCGGAUCAGGUAGGAAUACCCGCUGAACUUAAGCAUAUCAGUAAGCGGAGGA